GACGAACGCUGGCGGCGCGCUUAACACAUGCAAGUCGAACGGAAAGGCCUGCUUUCCCUUGUGGAUUGCGGGUACUCGAGUGGCGAACGGGUGAGUAACACGUGAGUGAUCUGCCCCUAACUUGGGUAUAAGCCUGGGAAACUGGGUCUAAUCCCCGAUAGGACUGCAGGGUGGUGCCUGUGGUGGAAAACGAUUUUCUAGUGGUUGGGGAUGAGCUCGCGGCCUAUCAGCUUGUUGGUGGGGUAAUGGCCUACCAAGGCGGCGACGGGUAGCCGGCCUGGGAGGGUGGACGGCCACAUUGGGACUGAGAUACGGCCCAGACUCCUACGGGAGGCAGCAGUGGGGAAUAGUGCACAAUGGGCGGAAGCCUGAUGCAGCGACGCCGCGUGGGGGAUGACGGCCUUCGGGUUGUAAACUCCUUUCGACCGCGAGGAAGCCACCUGGUUGGAAGGGUGGUGACGGUAGUGGUAGAAGAAGCACCGGCUAACUACGUG
rnacentral:rRNA from 1 species